rnacentral:tRNA from 1 species
GGGCGAUUGGCACAGUUGGUUAGCGCGCUUCCUUCACACGGAAGAGGUCACUGGUUCGAGUCCAGUAUCGCCCACCA